rnacentral:rRNA from 1 species
CCACGGGUGGCAGCAGUGGGGAAUAUUGGACAAUGGGGGCAACCCUGAUCCAGCCAUGCCGCGUGUGUGAAGAAGGCCCUCGGGUUGUAAAGCACUUUCAGUGAGGAAGAACGCCUGGUGGUUAAUACCCAUCAGGAAAGACAUCACUCACAGAAGAAGCACCGGCUAACUCCGUGCCAGCAGCCGCGGUAAUACGGAGGGUGCGAGCGUUAAUCGGAAUUACUGGGCGUAAAGCGCGCGUAGGUGGCUUGAUAAGCCGGGUGUGAAAGCCCCGGGCUCAACCUGGGAACGGCAUCCGGAACUGUCAAGCUAGAGUGCAGGAGAGGAAGGUAGAAUUCCCGGUGUAGCGGUGAAAUGCGUAGAGAUCGGGAGGAAUACCAGUGGCGAAGGCGGCCUUCUGGACUGACACUGACACUGAGGUGCGAAAGCGUGGGUAGCAAACAGGAUUAGAUACCCCGGUAGUC